rnacentral:rRNA from 1 species
ACAGGACGGAAAGACCCCAUGGAGCUUUACUGUAGCUUGACAUUGGGUCUUGGUACUACAUGUACAGGAUAGGUGGGAGGCUUUGAAACCAGGACGACAGUUUUGGCGGAGCCAUCCUUGGGAUACCUCCCUUGUAGUACUGGGACUCUAACCAUAGGCCAUGAAUCUGGUCUUGGGACACUGUCAGGUGGGCAGUUUGACUGGGGCGGUCGCCUCCCAAAAGG